AGUAGUUGAUCAUGGCUCGAGGACGACGCUGGCGGCGUGCCCAACACAUGCAAGUCGAGCGGAGUUGACAAGAGGAAGUUUCGGAUGGAAUCUGCCAGCUUAGCGGCGGACGGGUGAGUAACGCGUGAGCGACCAACCUUGCACAGGGGGAUGACGGACCGAAAGGUUCACUAAUACCGCAUAAGACCACGGUGUUGCAUGACACAGAGGUCAAAGGAGCAAUCCGGUGCAAGACGGGCUCGCGUCCGAUUAGGUAGUUGGAGGGUAACGGCCCACCAAGCCUAUGAUCGGUAGCCGACCUGAGAGGGUGAUCGGCCACAUUGGAACUGAGAUACGGUCCAAACUCCUACGGGAGGCAGCAGUGGGGAAUAUUGGGCAAAUGGGGGAAACCCUGACCCAGCAACGCCGCGUGAAGGAAGAAGGUUUUCGGAUUGUAAACUUCUGUCCUUGGUGAAGAGAAGAAGACGGUAGCCAAGGAGGAAGCCCCGGCUAACUACGUGCCAGCAGCGGC
rnacentral:rRNA from 1 species